rnacentral:misc_RNA from 1 species
AAGUCGUAACAAGGUUUCACUACAACGGAAGCCUUGUCAGUAUUGGUCUGCUCUGCAGGCAACACUUGCACUGUGACUGGGAGUAAUACCUUCGGGUUAACCAGCUGCCAUCCUUGGCCCACAGAUCAAACACAAGUGGCCAGUCUCUGGUUGAAAUAUGACCGUCGCUACUCUGCAAAGAGUGGAGUACCGGUUCCGUAGGUGAACCUGCGGAAGGAUCAUUAAAGAGAAGGGGGUUCGCCUCCUGAGCCUUCGGGCUCACUCUUCACCCAUUGUUUACUGUCUUUGUUGCUUUGGCGAGUCAUCGGUUUCCGACGUCGAUUCUUCGAUGAGUGCUCGCCAAAGGGUUUCAAAAUUCUUUUUAAUUGCAGUCUGAACAUCAAACAAAUAAUCAAAA